GUCGAGCGAUGGAUUGAGAGCUUGCUCUCAAGAAGUUAGCGGCGGACGGGUGAGUAACACGUGGGUAACCUGCCCAUAAGACUGGGAUAACUCCGGGAAACCGGGGCUAAUACCGGAUAACAUUUUGAACUGCAUGGUUCGAAAUUGAAAGGCGGCUUCGGCUGUCACUUAUGGAUGGACCCGCGUCGCAUUAGCUAGUUGGUGAGGUAACGGCUCACCAAGGCAACGAUGCGUAGCCGACCUGAGAGGGUGAUCGGCCACACUGGGACUGAGACACGGCCCAGACUCCUACGGGAGGCAGCAGUAGGGAAUCUUCCGCAAUGGACGAAAGUCUGACGGAGCAACGCCGCGUGAGUGAUGAAGGCUUUCGGGUCGUAAAACUUCUGUUGUUAGGGAAGAACAAGUGCUAGUUGAAUAAGCUGGCACCUUGACGGUACCUAACCAGAAAGCCACGGCUUAAUUACGUGCCAGCAGCCGGGUAAUACGUAGGUGGCAAGCGUUAUCCGGAAUUAUUGGGCGUAAAGCGCGCGCAGGUGGUUUCUUAAGUCUGAUGUGAAAGCCCACGGCUCAACCGUGGAGGGUCAUUGGAAACUGGGAUACUUGAGUGCAGAAGAGGAAAGUGGAAUUCCAUGUGUAGCGGUGAAAUGCGUAGAGAU
rnacentral:rRNA from 1 species